GUGGGGAAUAUUGGACAAUGGGCGCAAGCCUGAUCCAGCCAUGCCGCGUGUGUGAAGAAGGCCUUCGGGUUGUAAAGCACUUUUGUACGGGAAGAAACCUUCCGGGUUAAUACCCCGGGAGAAUGACGGUACCGUAAGAAUAAGCACCGGCUAACUUCGUGCCAGCAGCCGCGGUAAUACGAAGGGUGCAAGCGUUACUCGGAAUUACUGGGCGUAAAGCGUGCGUAGGUGGUUCGUUAAGUCUGCCGUGAAAGCCCCGGGCUCAACCUGGGAAUUGCGGUGGAUACUGGCGGACUAGAGUGCGGUAGAGGGUGGUGGAAUUCCCGGUGUAGCAGUGAAAUGCGUAGAGAUCGGGAGGAACAUCUGUGGCGAAGGCGGCCACCUGGACCAGCACUGACACUGAGGCACGAAAGCGUGGGGAGCAAACAGGAUUAGAUACCCUGGUAGUCC
rnacentral:rRNA from 1 species